AAGAUUUUAAGUUAAUAUAAACUAUAAACCUUCAAAGUUUAAAAUAAUUUUUUUUUAAAUCUUA
rnacentral:tRNA from 1 species